AUUAUAGCAAAUGUUUGUUGAAAGCUUACUACAUGCCAAUCAUUGUUCUGAGCUCCUUACUUGUGUUAACUCAUUUUAUCCCAUAACAAUUCCAGGAAGCAAACACUGCUAUUAUCACUUUUAGGCAGAUGAAAGCACUGACAGUGAAGCGACUUGCCCAGAUCCUACAAAAAGAUUGAAAAUUUUCAAAAGAAAAAAAAAAGGAAGGAAGAGAGAAAAGGAAAUUGGCCCUCCUUCACGAAAAAGUUGAGAAGAGUGGUCUUUGAUGAAUCAGGCUUGGCCUAGCCCUUGCAGAUGGGUGAGACUUCCACAGCUAACUAUAUGGAACAAGGGUGGAACAAGGCCAGUCAGCAGCAUCUAUUCAAAAGGAGGGAUUCCGGGAACAAAUGAAGACAAAGACAGUUUGCACAGUCGGAAGACAGGAAGUUAA
rnacentral:lncRNA from 1 species